GCUGGCGUAGCUCAAUCGGUAGAGCAGCUGACUUGUAAUCAGCAGGUUGCGGGUUCAAUUCCUGUCGCCAGCUCCA
rnacentral:tRNA from 1 species